AGCGUCCUCUGACAGCCUAGCCGCUAGCCGAUGGUAACCUUCAUUCUAUUGGCAAAACUGGUUUUGACUUUGCUCUUUAUUUCCGGUUCCAAACAUUGAUUUGUUGUCUGCCAUGUAAUUUCGUAAAUUCCAGACUUUCCGAAUUCUCAACUUUAUCCUAUGGAUUUCCUAGAAGGCUCUGUAAUAUAUGACUUGUUUUAAAUAUCACCUAGUUCCUUAGAAAUCUUUCCAAGAAACUAGGUCGAACUGCGACGCAGGCGAUUUGUCUACGACAAUAGUUAUUCCGCGACAUGUGUCAACUGUCACAGGUAUGGCAAUAAUUCUCAGGACUACUUGAAUGCAACAAGAUAACACCGUCGUUUCUUUCAUAUAAGCCAGCUCCUAUAUUACCCAAUAGGUGGUAAUAAGAGUUGAUGUAUGUCACAGAAUUCUUGAACAUAUUAAAUACAAUGCCGGAAGGAGGGGGUUGAAGUUGUAGCGCGCAAGUAGCAAAAUUCAAGUUCAAUUUUAGUGUUUGAAAAUAUUGAUGUCAGUAUUAAAAUUUAAGCCAAAUAUA